rnacentral:rRNA from 1 species
AGUGAACGCUGGCGGUAGGCCUAACACAUGCAAGUCGAACGGCAGCACAGGAGAGCUUGCUCUCUGGGUGGCGAGUGGCGGACGGGUGAGGAAUACAUCGGAAUCUACUCUGUCGUGGGGGAUAACGUAGGGAAACUUACGCUAAUACCGCAUACGACCUACGGGUGAAAGCAGGGGAUCUUCGGACCUUGCGCGAUCGAAUGAGCCGAUGUCGGAUUAGCUAGUUGGCGGGGUAAAGGCCCACCAAGGCGACGAUCCGUAGCUGGUCUGAGAGGAUGAUCAGCCACACUGGAACUGAGACACGGUCCAGACUCCUACGGGAGGCAGCAGUGGGGAAUAUUGGACAAUGGGCGCAAGCCUGAUCCAGCCAUACCGCGUGGGUGAAGAAGGCCUUCGGGUUGUAAAGCCCUUUUGUUGGGAAAGAAAUCCAGCUGGCUAAUACCCGGUUGGGAUGACGGUACCCAAAGAAUAAGCACCGGCUAACUUCGUGCCAGCCGCCGCCUAA